GGGCAGAGAUUGAAAGUACAAGCAGACCCCCGCCGCUCUUCAGGAAACGUCACCUUGACAAAGGAAGGGGGCGCGGAGAGCGCAGCAGCACACCGCGAACAAGGCACGUACGCGUAGACAGCACGAGCAGGUCGAUGACUGGCUACUCCGUCUUUUCCCGGCAGAGGGAGCUGCCUCGCAAGCCGAUUAUUCGACGCACCCGCAGCUGGCGUGGCAUUAUGCAGGUCCGCUUUAACGACAGCCGCGCAGAUCGGAACAAGAUCGGCGUGCAGGCGUUCUUCUGGGCACCGGUGCGCAUCUUUGGCUUGGGUCUUUUCGCCACCUGCAGCCUCUACUACUUGAUGGGCCACGACAGCUUCGUGCACACGCUACUAGGAUACGAGUCGGAGAUGCAAUACGAGGCACGCGUCAACCCCAUUACGGAGGGACAGUCGCAGAACUUUAUGAUUUUAGAUAGGGACCGCGCCUGGAAGUCGCCGGUGCGGAACUUGGAAAAGCCACUGCAUCCGGUGCGCGAGUUUGACGUGCUGCGCGAUCCCAAGUCGACUUGAUGGGUGGCCACCGGUGAAUGGAGAGACGGAGGAUCCGCGGGGGAGGGAGGGGGUGGAAGCGCGAGAGCUCAGAGAGCGUCGCACCGCUCCUGGACCCGUGCGUGCGCGUCUGCGAGUGAGCAGAGAAUACGUAUGAGAAAGAGUGAAGGCACUGAAGCCGUAUGCUUGUUGCUGCUGUGGCUGGCGUCAGCGCGCUGUCUAAAACACACACACACACAUACACACACGCACACACGAGUCAACAAGGUGCAGGUGUGGCGUGGGUCUUCCUCUCCUCUGCUCUCCUUGCCUCUGCGCCAUACAAGGGCAGCUCUGCAGUUGCGCGCUGGCGUUUGUGCGCUCACAUACUGGGUGUCGGGAUGACAGGCACAAGCGGAUCACGAAGCCCAAUGUGCAUAUAGGCAUACAUGUGUGUAGAGGAGCCAGGGGAGAGGCUGUGCAACGGAGACGGCCUCCGCCGAGCGGCCACGUGGCCACCAUUGCUGCAGCCGCGGUGGCGGUAGGGAUGUGGGACCGCCGCGAGCCAGCUUGAGCGACUUGACACACGCAAAGUAGAAACACGGCGUUUCCUUUGUUUCACGUGCACGCGCCGCUCGUGCGGCGCACCCCCUCGAGCCCUGGCUGCGCACGUGCUGUGCUGUGGCUCCUUGCUUCACGUGGGUCUCUCUCUUCCACUCUUUCCGCGACCCUCUCGCCUCAUGCUUGCCGCACCGCUGCGCCUGUGUGUUUUGCUUCGAUGUCGUGCUCCCCCCUUCGCUUCUUCUUCUCUCACUGCGAAAAAACACCGCCAG
rnacentral:misc_RNA from 1 species